rnacentral:rRNA from 1 species
UACGAAGGGGGCUAGCGUUGCUCGGAAUCACUGGGCGUAAAGCGCACGUAGGCGGACUCUUAAGUCGGGGGUGAAAUCCUGGAGCUUAACUCCAGAACUGCCUUCGAUACUGGGAAUCUUGAGUCCGGAAGAGGUGAGUGGAACUGCGAGUGUAGAGGUGAAAUUCGUAGAUAUUCGCAAGAACACCAGUGGCGAAGGCGGCUCACUGGUCCGGUACUGACGCUGAGGUGCGAAAGCGUGGGGAGCAAACAGG